AGUUGCUGGAGCAGCAACCCGACUUACAGCUUAAUGACUUUGGAAGGUAGUCGCAGCAGUCGAUCGGAAAGGUAUGAUUCACAUUCAAGGUUAGAUGGUUAGAUGAUUAAUUGGCUGCUUGUUUUAUUGCACAGGUGUUGCAGAAGCAGCAAACCCGACCAACACCAUAAUUACUUUAGGAAUUGUACUUCAGGAAUUGACCAGUGUCGGAUAAUUGACCACAGUGUCGAUAAGACAGGUGUCUUAGGAAGAUGACUCGGUUGCUUUGCUUCGUUUGCACAGAUGUUGCAGAAGCAGUGAAACCGAUCGACGUUAACUUGUUUCAGAAGAUGACCGCAGCGUCGAUAAGAAAGGUGACUUGUUUGCUGUGCUUCGUUGCACAGAUGUUGCAAAAACAGCAAAUCCGACAAACAGUUGAAAUGUGAGUAGACUUCAGGUGACUGCAGAGGGAAAGAUAGUGUUUAAGACGGAAAGUGGUUUUCGUCUCGUUUUAUCUCCAUUCCAUGGCAGGAGGUAGUACGACUCGAAUCCUUGCUUAGCUGCACUUUGCAAGUCAUAGCAAGUGCAAAACUCUUCAGGAGUCCAUCCCGUGGCUCAUCUCCAGAGUAGGAAGAUAGACAUAAAUGCUUCAUGUCCUGCUUCAUCGUGAAUUACUGCGUGGGUCUUGCAGUUGAGAUAACAAGGCAAAGAAAAAUAGUAAUUCGGCCGUCAGCAGUUACCAUGUGAGCUGACUGAAGCCGAAAGGUUUCGAUUUCAGCGCAGGUACGAGGCACGAGACGUCCCGAGGGAAGGUCUUGCCGGUAAAGCUAAACCGAGCAGAACCGCAACGGUAAGGGACAAUGCCAAUGUAACGAAAUAUUGGAUUGAUUUCGUUGUUUCGACUUUCGAGUAACACUUAGGUUAGCAACGGUAAGGGACAAUGCAACAUUAACGAAAUAUUUGCUUGAUUUCGUUGUCUCGACUUUCGAGUAAGACUUAGGUUAAUGUUUUUAUAGCAAGAUUCUGGAGUAGCAUCAACUGUGCAAACUGACCACACCUUUUCCUGUGGAACGAUUUGAAUAUGAACCCGAAAGCCUAUGCAGUUAGAACCUGCAAUCCUAUGUGAACUCGUUCAGCACUCAUGUGAAUCAUUUGGCAAUCCCAAAGCUGAACGAAGAGUCAACGUCAUAUUGAAUGGAAGGUGUACCAGUUACUGUGGUUGACUUUCGUUGUAUUGUCUGCAACAGACACCGCGCUGCCGAGUGGAGGUCCUGAUGGAUUUAUCCAACCCUGCAUGGAGCGCCACCAUCUCGUGAGUGACCAGCGACGGUGAUGUCGGGUCACGAACAAAAGUAAGAACAACCCUUGAGAUCAAAAGAUCAAAGCCAACGGGCAUGUGCUCACUUGUUAAAGUCAAGCAGACGAGUUUGCUACAAUCUGCUUCAGCGUAUGCAUGAAGGUCGUGAUAAGGGUCAGUUGGUGCUCGAGGUAUAAGUUGUGGUGAAGCAACAAUCUUGUGCAUUGCCUUGAAACUAGAUCCAGCGACAUGGAUCUGUGCAGACCAAAAGAUGCGCGGGCAUAGAACCGGCAUAGACAAUAGGACAAACUGCUCGUGUGCUGCGAUGCUUGCAUCGUCUGGUCCCUCCCAAUGUCCUCAGGUCAUUGGAGCCAGCAGCAGAGUGCGUCCUACACAGGUAUCUGAGAUACCAAAAGGUCUACAAGCACCACCAAUCUCUCGGCAUGUCAGAUUGACUUCAGCCUCAACACCUCACCCGAGCCCUUAGGACCAACAUCUCGAUGCUGAGUGCUGCCAGAGGUCGGAAACGCAUCCUUCUGUUCUAACGGAGGCAAACGAUCACUCGCCCGUCGGUUGUAACUUAUCUCCUCCAGGUGUGGCGGCCAUAAAGCAGACGGAUGGACCCAUCACGUUAUCACUCGUGAGUUUUUAAAGUCGAAGCCCGUAUUGGGAAUCGUUAACAAGCGUACCCUUUACAUUGCACGAAUGACGACAUGCUCCUUUGUAAAUCGUUUCCGGUAAACCACGAAAUUCCCAUCCCAGAAACAGUCCACAGGUCAGUAGCAAGGAGAUGUGGUUCCCAGAAUAAUAUAAAUGUAAAGGUGCAGUGAUUGCCUUUUUCCAAGAUUUUGUGAAGACGCCGCAUUUGCCAUUGUCUACAAGUCAAACUCGGUUUGACCCAGUCAGACUGUAAGUCUAUUAUUACGUACGUAUACCCGUUCACCCCCUAAGGUUACAGUUCUUCGUUCGCCAUAAAAAUGGGAGGGAUGUGAGAAAUAUCGUUUCCGUCUGCUCUGAGCGGCAUCGGCGACUCUCAUUAUUUCCAGCGACGGGAAGCGCCCCGUCAGUCGGCCCGGAGGCCAAAGCCGACCAACCGGCGGCGGCUCGCGCGGUUCCUAUCUCGCUGACCUCCACCGUUUGCACCACAACAAAAACACUCGACGAGGGUUAAGCACGUAGUGGUAGACAGGGAACGUGAGAACCUGAAUGUAGGAUGAUCAGUUAACAACUGAUAAUGAGCUGACGCCUUUGUGCAAGACCGGUAAGACCGGUGUAAAAACGCACACACCAAGGGCAAACGACUGUCAGAGAGGUAUAAAACGGGCGCCAGACGCAGCAGCGACUCACUCACACAGUCCACACCACACUCAACAACAUCCACUCUCCAACACUCCACUCAACAUGCACAACCUGCCCGCCAUCAUGACGCUGACCAGGGAGCCGAUUGGCUCGGCUUGGCGGCAGCAGGCUGUUCUUUCGGCACUCUUCCGGCCUCUACAAUAUCGGCAUACUCGAGUGCGAUAGCAACUCGAGUGGGACUGAUUUUCGGUCUUCUUUCGACACUCUUCCGUCUUCUUCGAUAUCAGCCUGUGCUAAUGCAGCGGCUAUUCGUGCAGGACUGAUUUUCGGCCUUGUCUCGUUUAAUGACUCGAUCGCUUCCUUUUGACAUUUUGGAUUCGACCUCAUCUUUUGGCUCAUUUCAAUAUAUCUACUUUUUGUUCA
rnacentral:lncRNA from 1 species